UUCUGUUAUUCAGCACAGGAUCCAGGUGUCUUUUGCAUGAGAUGAUCUUUCCCAGAUAUGUAUAUCUGGCAAUCAAAUAGCAAUGUGCACCUGCAGUAGCUCUUAGUGGUCCCCAUUUUGAAUUUGCAAGCUUUAAAGCAGGACAGUCUGGUCAGAGCCGAAGGCUAAAUCAGAAAUAGCUUGACAAUCCACUGAUAACAUGGCAUUUUCAGAAUAUAUUCUCUGCUCUAAGCCCAAGUGACUAUGGCUGAAUCUCAAAUUGCACAAGUCAAUCAGCCAGGGAUUUGUUUUGCACACGACGACUUACGGGAACUCAAGGAUACUAUAUCAUCUGAAACAUGAACUUUCAUCGGGAAUAUCUAUGACACAUAAGUGUCACAAGUCAGAAGAGAGAUUGCAACAAAAUUCAAAUGAAAUUAGAGCUUUGAUGCUGCAAGGUAACAAGAAUGUGAAAGAGCUGCAAGCAUGAUUGCAUUGCCUGAUCUCAUCAAUGAAGAAUAGAAAACUUAGUCUGUGGAUUCUUACUUCCUCAUGGCCCAAGGCGGCUAAACUGGCAAAUUGUUUUUUUAAUGGAAAAUGACACAACACUAAUGAAGGAAAAACUCUGGAGGAAAGAGAAAAGUAGCACUGAAAGAUGGAGGGGACUGACUGGCUGAAGCCAAAGGGAGCAAAGAACAUACAGAGUUGGGCCCAGAUCCAUAAAGGACACUAAAGAGGUUGAGAGUGAGGAGGCAGCAGAGACGGUAGAGUACCUCCCAGAAGACCCAGAAGAUAUUCUGCACCUUCACCCAGUGGUCAUCCCCCUCCCUCAACAGCCCAUCAUAAAC